AUGUUAGUCAGUUGUUUUACUAUUGUGUUAGCCAGUUGUUUUACUAUUGUAUCAGUCAGUUGUUUUACCAUUGUGUUAGUCAGUUAUUUUCCCAUUGUGUUAGUCAGUUGUUUUCCCAUUGUGUUAGUCAGUUGUUUUACUAUUGUGUUAGUCAGUUGUUUUACUAUUGUGUUAGUCAGUUGUUUUACCAUUGUGUUAGUCAGUUGUUUUCCCAUUGUGUUAGUCAGUUGUUUUACUAUUGUGUUAGUCAGUUGUUUUACUAUUGUAUCAGUCAGUUGUUUUACUAUUGUGUUAGCCAGUUGUUUUACUAUUGUGUUAGCCAGUUGUUUUACCAUUGUGUUAGUCAGUUGUUUUCCCAUUGUGUUAGUCAGUUGUUUUCCCAUUGUGUUAGUCAGUUGUUUUACUAUUGUAUCAGUCAGUUGUUUUACUAUUGUGUUAGUCAGUUGUUUUCCCAUUGUGUUAGUCAGUUGUUUUCCCAUUGUGUUAGUCAGUUGUUUUACUAUUGUGUUAGUCAGUUGUUUUCCCAUUGUGUUAGUCAGUUGUUUUACCAUUGUGUUAGUCAGUUGUUUUCCCAUUGUGUUAGUCAGUUGUUUUCCCAUUGUGUUAGUCAGUUGUUUUACUAUUGUGUUAGUCAGUUGUUUUACUAUUGUAUCAGUCAGUUGUUUUACUAUUGUGUUAGUCAGUUGUGUUCCCAUUGUGUUAGUCAGUUGUUUUACUAUUGUGUUAGUCAGUUGUUUUACUAUUGUAUCAGUCAGUUGUUUUACUUUUGUGUUAGUCAGUUGUGUUCCCAUUGUGUUAGUCAGUUGUUUUACUAUUGUGUUAGUCAGUUGUUUUACUAUUGUGUUAGUCAGUUGUUUUACCAUUGUGUUAGUCAGUUGUUUUACUAUUGUAUCAGUCAGUUGUUUUACUAUUGUGUUAGUCAGUUGUGUUCCCAUUGUGUUAGUCAGUUGUUUUACUAUUGUGUUAGCCAGUUGUUUUACUAUUGUGUUAGUCAGUUGUUUUACCAUUGUGUUAGUCAGUUGUGUUCCCAUUGUGUUAGUCAGUUGUUUUACUAUUGUGUUAGUCAGUUGUUUUACUAUUGUGUUAGUCAGUUGUUUUACUAUUGUAUCAGUCAGUUGUUUUCCCAUUGUGUUAGUCAGUUGUUUUACUAUUGUGUUAGUCAGUUGUUUUCCCAUUGUGUUAGUCAGUUGUUUUCCCAUUGUGUUAGUCAGUUGUUUUACCAUUGUGUUAGUCAGUUGUUUUACUAUUGUAUCAGUCAGUUGUUUUACUAUUGUGUUAGUCAGUUGUGUUCCCAUUAUGUUAGUCAGUUGUUUUACUAUUGUGUUAGCCAGUUGUUUUACUAUUGUAUCAGUCAGUUGUUUUACCAUUGUGUUAGUCAGUUAUUUUCCCAUUGUGUUAGUCAGUUGUUUUCCCAUUGUGUUAGUCAGUUGUUUUACUAUUGUGUUAGUCAGUUGUUUUACUAUUGUGUUAGUCAGUUGUUUUACCAUUGUGUUAGUCAUUUGUUUUCCCAUUGUGUUAGUCAGUUGUUUUACUAUUGUGUUAGUCAGUUGUUUUACCAUUGUGUUAGUCAGUUGUUUUCCCAUUGUGUUAGUCAGUUGUUUUCCCAUUGUGUUAGUCAGUUGUUCUACUAUUGUGUUAGUCAGUUGUUUUACUAUUGUGUUAGUCAGUUGUUUCCCCAUUGUGUUAGUCAGUUGUUUUACCACUGUGUUAGUCAGUUGUUUUACCACUGUGUUAGCCAGUUGUUUUACUAUUGUAUCAGUCAGUUGUUUUACUAUUGUGUUAGCCAGUUGUUUUACUAUUGUGUUAGCCAGUUGUUUUACCAUUGUGUUAGUCAGUUGUUUUACUAUUGUGUUAGUCAGUUGUUUUCCCAUUGUGUUAGUCAGUUGUUUUACUGUUGUGUUAGUCAGUUGUUUUACCAUUGUGUUAGUCAGUUGUUUUACUAUUGUGUUAGUCAGUUGUUUUCCCAUUGUGUUAGUCAGUUGUUUUACCACUGUGUUAGUCAGUUGUUUUACCACUGUGUUAGCCAGUUGUUUUACUAUUGUAUCAGUCAGUUGUUUUACUAUUGUGUUAGCCAGUUGUUUUACUAUUGUGUUAGCCAGUUGUUUUACCAUUGUGUUAGUCAGUUGUUUUACUAUUGUGUUAGUCAGCUGUUUUCCCAUUGUGUUAGUCAGUUGUUUUACUAUUGUGUUAGUCAGUUGUUUUACCAUUGUAUCAGUCAGUUGUUUUACUAUUGUGUUAGUCAGUUGUUUUUCCAUUGUGUUAGUCAGUUGUUUUACUAUUGUAUCAGUCAGUUGUUUUACUAUUGUGUUAGUCAGUUGUUUUCAAAUUGUGUUAGUCAGUUGUUUUCCCAUUGUGUUAGUCAGUUGUUUUACUAUUGUGUUAGUCAGUUGUUUUACCAUUGUUAGUCAGUUGUUUUACCAUUGUUAG
ensembl:lncRNA